rnacentral:rRNA from 1 species
UACGUAGGGGGCAAGCGUUGUCCGGAUUUAUUGGGCGUAAAGCGUCUGCAGGUGGCAGUUCAAGUCUGCUGUCAAAGACCGGGGCUUAACUUCGGAAAGGCAGUGGAAACUGAACAGCUAGAGUAUGGUAGGGGCAGAGGGAAUUCCUGGUGUAGCGGUGAAAUGCGUAGAGAUCAGGAAGAACAUCGGUGGCGAAGGCGCGCUGCUGGGCCAUAACUGACACUCAGGGACGAAAGCUAGGGGAGCGAAUGGG